rnacentral:rRNA from 1 species
CCUACGGGAGGCAGCAGUGAGGAAUAUUGGUCAAUGGGCGCGAGCCUGAACCAGCCAAGUCGCGUGAGGGAAGACGGUCCUAUGGAUUGUAAACCUCUUUUGUCGGGGAGCAAAAGACGCCACGUGUGGCGUUCCGAGAGUACCCUAAGAACAAGCAUCGGCUAACUCCGUGCCAGCAGCCGCGGUAAUACGGAGGAUGCGAGCGUUAUCCGGAUUUAUUGGGUUUAAAGGGUGCGCAGGCGGAAGAUCAAGUCAGCGGUAAAAUUGAGAGGCUCAACCUCUUCGAGCCGUUGAAACUGGUUUUCUGGAGUGAGCGAGAAGUAUGCGGAAUGCGUGGUGUAGCGGUGAAAUGCAUAGAUAUCACGCAGAACUCCGAUUGCGAAGGCAGCAUACCGGAGCGCAACUGACGCUCAUGCACGAAAGUGUGGGUAUCGAACAGGAUUAGAUACCCUUGUAGUC